UGUGUGUGUACCCUUUAUAUCUCCCAGGGUGUGACUAAAAGUGGUCACUGAUGAGGGCCCUGGGGGCCCUGUAUGGACCGUCCUCAAGAGUACAGGCAGUAGGCCAUGUGCUGAGAAAUGCUGAGGCCAGGACAGGUCUACCCUUCCAAUGCCUGCCUUCCCCCAAGGAUACAGUCACAGCAUCAUAGAGGUCUUGGCCAACCUUAAUGACUCUAACAUCAUCCUCUCCAACCAUCAUCCCAUCCCCACCAAUCCAUGUCACUCACUUGUUAACAACACUUCCAUGUUUCCUGAACACCUCCAGGGACAGUGACUCCACCACCUCACUGGGCCACCUGUUCCAAUGCAUCACCACCUUGUUCUGAGAAGAAAUUUUAAUAUUCAAGAUGAACCUCUCUUGGUGCGACUUAGGGCCAUUACCUCAUUUUUGGUGGUCCUGAAGCUGCUCAAUAUCUUUUCAAGACAGGAGACUGAGUAGUAGCAGUAAAAGCUGCAGGUCCUAGAACACAUCACCCAGGAGCACCACCUUGAGGAGGUGCCAGCUGGUCAGUGCCUGUCUUGCAGCAAGACUCCCAAUCUUGGAGCCAAGAGGAGCUCAUCAGUAAGGCAAACAGCAACCACAUGGCCAUUUGAAAUGCGAUUCUCCUUUUUCUGGAGCUGCCUUCCAAAAAAGUGGGGUGGGGAGGAAUGAACACAGAGAACAGCAGAGGGUGCUGGAGGGAACAGUGGGUGAAAUCUUCAUCCUGAAACGCUGAAAUGCAAAGCUAGAAAGACUCUUGUACCAAUAAUUUUUCUUUUUCCCCCUAGAAGAAAAAUUGCAUUUUCCAGCCAGCUCUAUUCAUGAGUGUGCAGAGCUCUGUUAAUGGGCUGUGCCAGGCUGUGGUCACCCUACAGAGCUAUUGGCAGGAGAGGUGGCAAGUUGGACAGGACUACAAGGGAACUCUGCAUGGUAUUUUUUGAUGAGCUGAUUAUUCAGGAAUUUCACAACAGCUGAAAUACAUCACUCUGUUCUGAAACUCACAGCUCUGCCAACACUCAGGACAGCUCACAUGAGCAGCAGCAUUUCCUCCUUCCCAGCGCUGCUGGCCUGUAUGUUCAGAACAAGAUGCAGGAACAGGACAAGGCUUUUCAGCAGCCAUCGACCACAGUGACAGCUAAAGAUGGGCAGUAGAGAGGAAACAGAGAGCUGAGAUAGACUGAAGUGAAUUAGGGGGUUACCAGCAGCAUGGCACUGAUUUCUGAAGCACUGCACAAAGAGUUCAAG
ensembl:lncRNA